CCUCUCUGCCUACUUGUGAUCUCUGUCUGUCAAAUAAAUAAAUAAAAACUUAAAAAAAAUGUUUACCCACCCAAGGGAUAUUUUGGGGCACCUUUUUAUUUUCAAGAGAAUCAGUGUCUAAAUUAGGAAAGCUUAGUUUGAGAGGCUGCUCCACUUUACUCCAUCGUAAAAUGGAGUGCCUGCUUGGGUCAGGGUGAACCAAGCAGCAACCCAGAGGCCAUUCCACUAUGGACUCCCCAUCACAUGGGCUUAGAGAAGACAAUGCCAAGUGUAUGGACAUGUGAAAUCCACCGGCAGCGUCCAGCUUUAAAGAUGGACAGGUAACAAGUAUUCAUAGAUGCCAACUUCCCAACUUCCCAAUCAGUUGUUCAAGAGCUCAUUAGCAGAGGUCUCCAAAUAAACUAAUUUGAAAUAUGGAUUGAACAGAGGUGAGCCUAGCUAGGCUAGCAACACAAGCCACACUAACCCGGGCCUCGGUUCCAGAUGGAAUGGCUGCAGCAAGAGCAAGCGACGAAAAUACAGAAGCACUGGAUGGCGAUCAGCAGGAGGAAAGGUUCCUCUUUGCCAUCCAGUCUCGAAAGCACAGAUGAGUGAGCGUUUCUCUCCGAAAGAGGCUGAAGGCUGCAGAGCUCAUUGCUGUGUUCCUUCCUCUCUCCUUCCUUUCCCAGUCUUUUUCUUCUUUAGCAAUGAUGAUAGAAUUUCCUGGGCGAAAUAAUCCUUUCUUUUUAAACUGGAACUUUUUGGCAGAAUGUCACAAUGUUCUACUGUCCUCAGAGCUCAACAUACUGGGCCUUAGAAACUUUCCAGGGGAGAGACAAUAAGGCCACAGUCUGCACAGAGCCUUCUGUGUGGCUGUGACAGUGAGGACAAAAACAAUCAUGUUAAUGUUGUUGAUUAGGAUUGGGCUUUUUUUUUUUCUGCUGCUUCUUUGUCAUAGUUUUUCACUAUCCUAUCUACAUUUUUAAAGAACCCUAUGUAUGUCCCCAUCCAGAGAAAUUUUUUUUUAAAGAUUUUUUUUUUAAUUUAUUUGACAG